GCAUUGGUGGUUCAGUGGUAGAAUUCUCACCUUCCAUGCAGGAGAUCUGGGUUCGAUUCCCAGCCAAUGUA
rnacentral:tRNA from 1 species